rnacentral:rRNA from 1 species
AUGGCAGCGGGCCCCACGCCAUCCACAGCCGCGUCCUUCCGGCCGCCCCUGCCGCCUCCGCCGCCGUGCUUCGACUACCGGUCCGCGUCGCUCGCCGAUACGCGUGCCAGCGCCGCCACCGCGGACCCCGCGCUGGCUGGGUUGGUCGAGUCCGGUGCACUGGUACGCGUCCCGCGGCGGCGGUUCGGGCCGGUGCCGGCGUGGCGGCCGCCGGAUUUCGCUGAGCCCGAGGACGUGUGGAUCCUCGGGACCUCGCACCUCUCCGCGGAGUCUGCCGACGAGGUCGAGCGCGUGCUCCGUGCCGUCCACCCCGACAACGUCGUCGUCGAACUCUGCCGGAGCAGAGCCGGGAUCAUGUACGCUUCCGACGACGCCUCCGGCGAGCCGCUGUUGAAAUCCAACAUGUUUUCGCUCGGCGGCGCCAAGUUCUUGGGAGCCGUCAACCGGAGCAUCAACCUGGGUGGACAGAGUGCUCUUGCUCUGCGUUUGCUCCUGGCUGUUUUUUCUUCCAAGAUUUCUUCUGGCGCGAACCGGCCGUUUGGGGAGGAGUUCCGAGCAGCUAGGAGGGUGUCUGAAGAUAUUGGCGCUCAGCUCGUUCUUGGGGAUCGCCCUAUUGAAAUAACUCUUGAACGAGCUUUGAAAUCCCUCAGCUGGGAUGAAAAGACUAAACUCGUAAUCUCAUUAUUCCGUGGAAUCACUUCAACCACCGAUAUGCCGCAGGAUGAGAAAGCUGCGGUUAGCCCGUACGAGUUGUACGAGAAGCUUAGCAGCUCAUAUCCUUCGCUGCUGCAGCCUCUCAUACAUGAGCGCGACAUGUACAUGGCUUGGUCCCUAAAGAGGAGCAAGGCCGUGAACAAGAGCAAGACGGUGGUUGGGGUCAUCGGGAAGGGGCAUAUGAACGGCGUGGUGUACGCGCUGAUCUCUGACCAGGGGGACCUGAGGUUCCGCGACCUCGUCGGCAGGGAAUCGUCGGAGACCUGGGCUAGCUCCGUUGUCAAGGGCCUGGUCAGGGAUACGGUGAUAGGGCUCGUCCUCUGGGCUCUGUACGAACUGCUGCAGGCUGCCGCCCUACAUAUAACGUUGUAG